AUAUAUUUUAUUGAUUUUUUACAGAGAGGAAGAGAGAGGGAUAGAGAGAGAGAAACAUCAAUGUGAGAGAGACACAUAGAUUGGCUGCCUCCCCCAUGCGCCCAACCAGGGCUCAGGAUCAAACCAGCACCCAGGCACGUGCCCUUGACCAGGAUUCAAACCCUCAAACCUCUGACCAAUGCUCUAUCCACUGUGCCAAACUGGCUAGGACA